UGUUUUCUUUCCGUAAGACUUCCAAGGAUUUACAGCUAAAAGCUAAAAAAAAAAAAAAAAAGAAAAAAAAGAAAACUUAAAACGUUGGGGCAUCCUGUGGCUUGCCUCUUGUAAGUGUUGGAAGAUGAAGGCUGGGUGGCAUCUUUCAAGCCAUGUGAGGUGGUGGGGAACAGAAGCCCAGGAAGUCCCAGAGGAAAAGAAAAACAGAGCUAUCAGGUGGGCCAAAGGCACUCGGCAGGGGGCCGUGGGUGCCUGUCAAACCGGAAUGGUUAUCUGGUCUGGCAGAGCCCAGCAUCUUGGGUGGCCAAAUAAACCUCAGAUACCGUGUUCCCAGGGACUGGGUGUGGGGGAAUAGUGUCCUUUCCCCAGAGUCUGUCUCAUGUCCCAGAACUUUCCUCUGCCAGAGGACCUGGGCUGGAAUGGGCUUGUCACCUGAGCCGCUGUCCUUUUCUGGGACAGGUUGACGCCCAAGAUCCCAAGAAAGCAGGCCCACCCAUGCAGAUGCCCGCAUGUGUGCAGCACACGGUGAGAAGGGGGAUCUUCUGGGUGGCAGAGAUGCCCCAGGCAGGUGCCCUGGAGUCCUGGGGUUAGAGACGGGGGUAUAAACUGUGCACCAGGUGGAAAAGAAGCGGUGGAAGCGGGGUCUGUCUUGGAGAGCCGGCUGGUUCAGGAGGGCAGAUAUGAGCCUCAGUUUAUAAACUCAGAAAUAUAAGAAAUAGAACUUGAAUUUCUUAAAACUCUGAACAGCCUUCCAUAGGCAUUGCCUCUGCUGUCAGAUUGGGGCCGGCGUUGGCAUUGGCAGCUGGGCAGUGAGCUCCCCCGGCCUGCGUCACUGGUUCACACUGAACUCCUUGGAGACCUUUAUCCAAGCACCGCUUUGCUCUCCUCAUAUGGUUUACCAAAUAUGUUGUUUGCUGUGCAUCUCAAGAGCCUUCUUUGAAACUAAAAUAAUCAGAAUUUAUGAUUCUAUCCCUUUCAUUUUUGCUGGAUUGCAUCGACUUCAGUGCAGUAAAUCCCAUAGAGACACACUAACCAGGUGAAGAGAGGCUGAGAAGGGCGAGGUCAGAUGGUGUGGGAGAGGCAGAGGUGGACAUUGGUCAAUAUCUCAACAACAUUACCACACCACUCUUGCUUUGGGGACUUUCCUGCCCAGAACUCUAGUUCCCUCUGACCUAUCAUGGCACUCCUCCCCUUUCCCAAACAAGUUGGUAAAUUAAGAGUACAUAUCAUCUUCCAUCCUCCAUGGCAGCAAACAUGUAACCAGGCAUUGGUGGGGGUGAGUGUCUCUGUUCCUCUCCACCAGCAAGUCCUGCCUUUGCAAUGGCCAGAACCCCUUGGAGAGUCAGGAGAGCGGGGAAGCCAACCCAGUAUUGGAAAUGACUUGAAUGGUACCAUACCAAGGGGCUGCCAUUUUGGAAUCCCCAAAGCCAUUAAAGUUAGUUUAACUGAGUCCACAUCUAGGCAGUGUGUGGUGUGGACAGAGCCUCCAAAGGCCCCAAAGUCAGGGAGAUUCCAGAUUAAAGAUCCGUCCUACGGGUCAGUGAUUCUGGGAAACUUGUUUCAUUUCUCUUUGCCUCAUCUGUACAUGGACAUGGACAUGGUUGUGAAGAUAAGGCACAGUGAUGUUCAUAAGGCCUUUAGAGCCUGUGUGGUGCUGCUGACAGUACGUUCUCUCCCUUUGUCUUAGGAAGUCCUCAGAGGAUAGAGCUGUUCCAUCUCUAGGGCUCUGAGUCUUUGUUUAAUGCUCAGAAUUCACCCAAAUGACCCUCCAAUAACUGAAACCAAGCAAACACAGAGGAAGACUCUCUGAGACGCUCCUGCCCUUCCUUGACUCUGGCAUCUGUGUAACUGGGUGUCCCUUGGCACAGACCUAAGCAUAGUGUCACUCAGUCUCUUGCAAUGCCCUGCAUUAUAGCGUAGGUGAGAGUCUCUCUCUGGUCAGAAAUGUUUCCUUAUCCAGUAUCAGUUUCUUCAGCGGACUGGCUCAGUUCCAUUUCUCAUUGCUGUGGACACUCACCUAACACGAGUACAGCUGUAACACUUGAGAGGGAAAUGCCCAAUAAAAUUCUUGCCUUUGAGCGAGCCCACUAUAGAUUGAAACCAAAAGUCUGCAGGAAGAAUGAUGGGGAGUGACUUUUUCCUUUUGAGCUACGGAGGGAGCUUUUAUGAUCCCAACGACAGCUUCUCUGAGGCAGAAAGCUGGGUUUUGCAGCCUUCUAAAUUCAAAUGAUCAAUGAGCUUUUUGUGCAUUUGGGGGUCAAGGUCACUUCCCAGAGCUCUUCUGCUCUGAGGGCAAAGAGGGCUGGGAUCACAAGGGAAAGGCCAGCUUUGUGAGACCAGAGAGAAGAGCCUAAGGCUUGGGAAGCCAGAGCCUGAGAGGACAACAGGGUCAUUUGUACAUAAGACCAUUCUUCUGUUUGUGUACGGACCUCCAAGUUAUAUGUGAGGUGUGUGUCUUUGGUAGAGGAGUGAGGCUUGUAGGCCACCUCGCCACUGGCCUAUCUGUAUCCUGGGUUAGAGGACAGCAGCCCGGCAGGGUGGAGACGAGGAAGCAGGGGGCUGAGCAGGUGAAAUUUCCAUCAUUCAUUUUUACCUUAAUGGCCUGCUCUUAGUGUGGGGGUAAUGAACUAAUAAUUAUGCCACCUGUGGCUUCAACUGUGUGGAUUUUGCUUCCUUUCUUGGGGCUGUGGGGAGCCCAGGCAGAGGUCUUUAAGGACUGGCUCAUUUUUUUUUUUUUUGCCAAGCUGUUUUCACCCUUUUUGUACCAAGUAGAAGAGGCGGUAUCUGGCCCAAGUUCCCUGCAGACUCGGGACUUGCCAUGGAGCUGAUCGCCGUCCCCACCCAGUGGAUACCAGCGGUGGCGAAGGCUCCAGGCUCGGAGAGAAGGCUGAGCUCACAGACAUGGUGGCUGGAGCUGGAGGCCACUAGCACCCUCCUCUCCCAGACCCAGGCAACAGAGGCCAGAACAGGAUGGGCGAGUGCUAAGGGGCUCAAAGCCAGUCGAGGUGGAGAUGGACCGCAGCCCAUGCCCAGAUGCAUGUGCGAUUUUUGAGCUAAAAAUCCAGUGCUCGUGUCGCCCCCUCAUUACAAGGGACGACUGCGUGUGAGGACUUCACGUUUGCUGUAUCCACCCUGCCCCGCCCUGCUCUGUGCCCCAGGAGACUGACCUCCACACACUGCCCAAAGCUCUCCCUCCCGUUCUGCUUCUGGCUGGCUCUGAACAAUGUGCCAUCCACUUCCUGCCAAGACCUUCACUGAACAAUCACUGGAAGUUCACUGGGAGAAUCUGAAGAUGGCCAUGGAUUUGCCUAACCCUUUGGCUUUGACACUCCUUAGAAGCUUCCUAAGCUCUUGAGGGGGAAUUUGGGGUUUGGAGAGGAUGGACAACUCCGUGUUAGUCGCCUUUUUGUCCAUAUGACAAAAGACCUGAGGUAAACAACAGAAAAAGGAGGAAAUAUUUAUUUUGGCCCAUGGUUCCAGAGAUUUCAGCCCAUGACCUGUGGCCUUUGGGCUUGUGGUGAGGCAGUAUCUUCUGGCAAAGUGUGCCGUGGGGGAAAGGGGCAGCCAGGAAGCAGAGAGCCAGGGAGACAGGAGGGGCCCGCCCCAAUGGCCUGACUCCCUUCCACUAGGCCCCACCUCCGGAAGGUCACAUCAGCUCCCUAUAGCGCCACCCGCUGGUGACCAAGCCUGAAUGUGUGGCCUUCGGUGGACAUAAACCAUAACAAACUCUGAAAUAACCACAGGAACUAGUAAGAGCCUUUCCAUUCUCUCUCUCUUUUUUCAUUCAUCAUCAUUAUUGUUGUUAGCGUUAAAAUAUGAAUGUCAUGUAACUCCCUUUUGACUACAAGCAAAUAAAACAAUGCAGGUUGAGUAACUCCAUCUCUCUUGCCUGGUCACCAGUUUUUCUCUGAGUGACCAGUAGGAUGGCCCGGUACACUUUCUUCUGGUCUUUUUCUAGGUAUUUUUGCAAAAAUAUCACACAUACACACACACACACACACACACACACACACACACACACAUGCACACACUGUAGACUGUAGGCACCUUCUGUCUGGUUGACAGUGCGUCAUGGUCUGAAUGCUGUACUCCCUAAUACUCACAUAUUGAAACCCUAGCCCCCAAAGGGAUUCUAUUAGGAGGUGAGGCCUUUGGAAACUAAUGAAGGCAUGGGAUUCAUGACCUUGAAAAAGAGGGCCAAGAGAGCUCUUUUGUUCCUUCUGCUAUGUGAGGACACAGCAAGAGGUCAGCAUUUUGCAGCCCAGAAGAGGGCCCUCACCAAACCUGACCACGGCGAUACCCUGACAUUAAACUUCUGCCUCCAGAACUGUGAGAAAUACGUCUCCAUUGUUUAUAACCUCUCAGCCUCUGGUAUUUUGUUAUAUCAGCCUGAGCUGAUGAAGCCCAUUUAACCCACAGGUUCUCACGAGUACCUUAUUCUUUUUCCACUGUAGUAUGAUAUUUCACACAAUGGAUCAUGAACUGUUGAAAUAUUCUGCUGAGUCUGAUGGGUAGAUUUCUUGUAAUUUCAUUUUUAUUAAUAAGAUUGUAAUAAAUACUCUAAUGUACACUGUCA